rnacentral:rRNA from 1 species
UACGGAGGGAGCUAGCGUUGUUCGGAAUUACUGGGCGUAAAGAGCGUGUAGGCGGUUUAUCAAGUUGGGAGUAAAAGCCCGAAGCUUAACUUCGGAACUGCUUUCAAAACUGGUAGACUAGAGAUAGGUAGAGGAUGGUGGAAUUCCUAGUGUAGAGGUGAAAUUCGUAGAUAUUGGGAAGAACACCGGUGGCGAAGGCGGCUCUCUGGACCGUAACUGACGCUGAGGCGCGAAAGCGUGGGGAGCAAACAGG